UACGGGGGGGGCAAGCGCUGUUCGGAAUUACUGGGCGUAAAGGGCUCGUAGGCGGCCAACUAAGUCCGACGUGAAAUCCCCAGGCUCAACUUGGGAACUGCGUCGGAUACUGGAUGGCUUGAAUUCGGGAGAGGGAUGCAGAAUUCCAGGUGUAGCGGUGAAAUGCGUAGAUAUCUGGAGGAAUACCGGUGGCGAAGGCGGCAUCCUGGACCGACAUUGACGCUGAGGAGCGAAAGCUAGGGGAGCAAACGGG
rnacentral:rRNA from 1 species